rnacentral:lncRNA from 1 species
GAACUAACCAGAUCCUGAAGUGCCUGGUGCACUGCAGUAAGGAGAUCAAAAUAUCCAGAAGACUCUGAAGACAUCAUGUCAGAUUGCAAGAACCUGAAGACAGGCCAAGUAUAAGGAACAGAAAGCAAACCCUGUGGAUCCUACCCAUGGUCCUGCUACCAGAGCCUUUCGUGAUCCCUAGC